rnacentral:rRNA from 1 species
UACGAAGGGGGCUAGCGUUGUUCGGAUUUACUGGGCGUAAAGCGCGUGUAGGCGGGUCGUUAAGUUGGGGGUGAAAUCCCGGAGCUCAACCUCGGAACUGCCUUCAAAACUGGCGGCCUGGAGUAAGGCAGAGGCAAGUGGAAUUGCGAGUGUAGAGGUGAAAUUCGUAGAUAUUCGCAGGAACACCAGUGGCGAAGGCGACUUGCUGGGACAUUGCUGACGCUGAGACGCGAAAGCGUGGGGAGCAAACAGG